AUGAAGUGGACCCCAAAAGCAGAUGCAACUUUGCAAGAGUUGAAGGCCUAUUUGUCCUCUGUGCCUACCUUGGUUGCCCCCAAACCUCAGGAGCCGUUGUUGCUAUACUUAGCAGAAACCAACCAGGUGGUCAGUGCGGCCUUGGUAGCACAGCGGGAAGUAGAUGAGACAGAAAGUGAGCAGAGACCGGCAGAGUCAGAGAAGGGUCAUGACAGCAGUGAGCACAACAACGAUAGCAACCCCAAGGUCGUGACAAGGAAGAAAGUGGUGCAACACCAGUGUACCUCGUUAGCUCUCUGUUGCAGGGGGCCUAGAUAG
rnacentral:rRNA from 1 species